GCAUACCAGUACUAUCACAGUCAACAAAACUACAGCUCGCUUUUGCGACACAGACAAAAGACACUUUCGUUUGCGCUACACGGAAGCGCUGUGUUAUAUGGGAGUAAAUUCGCGAUAGCCUGAUAAAAAACGGACAAUUACGUUGUAAACGGGGGAUUUCAGUGUGCCCGUUCGAGUGAGGAUGGUAUAGGUUGCCAAGACAACUAGGAUAUAGAAAGUCAAUGUAUGGCAAACACAAGUCAACCACUAGCGGUCUAUCAUCAAGUUAUAGUGGCAAAAUGCCUAAUCUUUAAAGCCAAAUAAUAACAUGACCGGACAAUACAACGUUUUUGGCUAUACAAAUUGAGCUUCUUCUGUGACUUGAAUUAAACAAUUAUUUCUCGCC